rnacentral:rRNA from 1 species
UACGGAGGUUGCAGGCGUUAAUCGGAAUUACUGGGCGUAAAGCGCACGCAGGCGGUCUGUCAAGUCGGAUGUGAAAUCCCCGGGCUCAACCUGGGAACUGCAUCCGAAACUGGCAGGCUUGAGUCUCGUAGAGGGGGGUAGAAUUCCAGGUGUAGCGGUGAAAUGCGUAGAGAUCUGGAGGAAUACCGGUGGCGAAGGCAGCCCCCUGGACGAAGACCGACGCUCAGGUGCGAAAGCGUGGGGAGCAAACAGG